AAACCAGCACCUCAAGUGGUCAGGAUGAUUAUUGGGCCUAAAGCAUCCGUAGCCGGCUCUGUAAGUUUUCGGAUAAAUCUGUACGCUUAACGUACAGGCUGCUGGGAAUACUGCAGAGCUAGGGAGUGGGAGAGGUAGACGGUACUCGGGAGGAAGUGGUAAAAUGCUUUGAUCUCUCGAUGACCACCUGUGGCGAAGGCGGUCUACCAGAACACGUCCGACGGUGAGGGAUGAAAGCUGGGGGAGCAAACCGGAUUAGAAACCCCGGUAGUCC
rnacentral:rRNA from 1 species